GAUUUGGGUAUAACUCAGAGAUGAGUUGGAGCUCUACCAGUGAUGAAGGCUCCAGGGACAGGACACAGAAAGGGAACAUAAGACUGCAUGUUGGGUAUUGGAGGAGGAAGGAGCUUCGGUUUGGAUGUAUAGGGCCAGUGGAAGAUGAGGACGGAAUGGCACUAGCUCUAGGGCCUGACAGACCUUCAGUUCCAUGGAUUAUUACAGUGGAGAAGGACUGGAGGUAAGAAGACUGUUUAGAAGGCUGCUGCAGUAACCCGGUGAGAGGGGAUGGUGUUGUGGACCAAAGCCAGAGCGACGAGAUAGAGAGGGAGCAGAUGUGUGUCAAAGGUGGGAGAUCAUGGAUAAUAACCUCAACACAUGGCAUCAGUGAAUGAAAAGGUCCUUGGUGAUGAAAAGAUGGAGAACCACAGCCUUUCUCUAUUGGCCCCAGUGGACUGGCUUGCUGCUGUUUCCCAAGCAGACUUGUAUUUUCCUGUUUCCCUAGGGCUUUGUGAAUGCAGUUCCCCCUGCCUUCAAUGCCCGCCCCACCAUCUCCCAGUACAUGAGCCCUCUGCAUUCUGUCGGGCCCUUAUCAGAUGUCCCCUCUGUCCUCCCACAUCUGCCAGGACCCCCUAAGCAGAGCGAUCUUUCCCUUUCUGCAGCUUUCAGCGCCUCGGGCCCUUGGGCUGCGCGUUCUGCCCUCUGCCUUUCCAGGCCCGGCCGCUGCGGGCUGGGAUGAUGUUCUGCGCCUUCCGCAUCCAGGACCUCACCCAAUACUCAGCGGACAGCGGACAACCUGGAAACGGUGCUGAAUGGUGUGACUCCGUGGCUCCGGAGCCCAGCGCCAGGCCGCCCCCCGGGAGCAGCGGGCAAAGCCACGAGGCCGGUCCUGAAUUCAUUUUCACCCCAUUAACUCCGCCCAGGCCCGCCCCCAAAGGCUCCGCUCUCGGCCCCCGUCUCAGACACGACCGCCGCCUCCUUCUUCCUCCUCUCGUCCCCUGUCAUGGUGCCAGCUCAGCGCUAUCGCCUCGCCUAU